rnacentral:rRNA from 1 species
CUUAACACAUGCAAGUCGAACGAUCGCAAGAUAGGUGGCGAACGGUGAGUAAUACAUCGGAACGUGCCCAGUCGGUGGGGGAUAACGUAGACGAAAGCUACGCUAAUACCGCAUACGAUCUCUGGAUGAAAGGCGGGGGACCGCGAGGCCUCGCGCGAUUGGAGCGGCCGAUGGCAGAUUAGGUAGUUGGUGGGGUAAAGGCUCACCAAGGCGACGAUCAGUAGCGGGUCUGAGAGGAUGAUCCGCCACACUGGGACUGAGACACGGCCCAGACUCCUACGGGAGGCAGCAGUGGGGAAUUUUGGACAAUGGGCGAAAGCCUGAUCCAGCCAUGCCGCGUGUCUGAAGAAGGCCUUCGGGUUGUAAAGGACUUUUGUCAGGGAGCAAAACUUACUGGUUAAUACCCGGUGAGGCUGAGAGUACCUGAAGAAUAAGCACCGGCUAACUACGUG